AUUGUUUCUCUGAUGAUGGUGGAACUGCACUGCCUUCUGCGGGGUGACACUCAGCCCACGUUGCACACGGCCGAGCCAUCAGGAGGAGGUGGCAGCCACCACCUGUGCAGCGUGGGAUUGGGAUUCCUCUGUGACGUUGCCUGGAGCCGGUCAUGAGCAACACCGAGAGGGGUGUGCGUUGAAUUUCACCCUGCUGCAGGCCUGCCUGCCUGCUCAGAAUCAGCUGUCUGAGCCGCCUCCGAUAGGCGGCUUUCCCUUUACUGCAGUAGGCAAGCAGCACCUUUCUCUGCCUUCUGCUCUGUGCAGAGGAUAAUGGCUUGGAACUGUUUAUGUGGGCUCCUCCGUGUCCUGCUCUGAUUCCCUCUGCCUGCGGAGAUUCCCAUAUUUCAUGACUGUGUGGCUGCUGACUCACUCAUUCCCUAUAGGGGUACCUUAACCUGGGCUGCAUCCUGUUUGCUCCGAAGGACAGUUUGACUUUAUCAGUAAGAACAACACACAUCUCGGGCCUCCUCAUCACGUUGAUGAGAAUGCGCAGACAGCCCGCAGAUGCGUUUGCUGUGCUGCGAUAUAAAUCAGAGGUAUCUCCUGGUGCUGCCGCAGAAGUCCCAGCCCAGAGGUGACAGCCAAAACCACCUGGAUGUGACCCGAAACUGCAACAAGGUGCACCAAGACAGCAACUGGGGCAAAAGUGCCCCCGAAGCGCCCCCACACUUCACACCCUGCCUUACAGCUCAGUGCUGAGCAGAGCCUGGAAAACCUGCUGGUUCUAGGGCCAUGGGAAGAAGAUUUAAUCCCUUUUAUUCUUUUUCCCCACUCAACUUCCUUCAAACAAGAGGUGGCUGUCACUUGAACUGUUUUGGAGCUGUUGGAGCGAGUCCAGGAGAGGCCAUGGAGAUGCUCAGUCUGCUAUGAUGGAAGGCAGAGGGAGCUGGGCUUGUUCAGUAUGGAGAAGAGAGGGCUCCAGAGAGACCUCACUGCAGCUUUCCAGUACUUAAAGAGAGCUUAUAAAAAGAUGAGGACUAACUUUUUACACAGGCAGACAGUGAUAGGACAAGGGGGAAUGGUUUUAAACGAAGAGAGGGGAAGUUUGUAUUAGCUGUUAGGAGGAAAUUCUUCACUCAGAGGGCGGUGAGGCACUGGCACAGACUGCCCACAGAGGUUGUGAAUGUGCCUUCCCUGUAGGUGUCCAAGGCCAGGUUGGAUGGGCCCUGGGCAGCCUGAUCUGCUGGGUGGUGGCCCUGCCCACAGCAAGGGACUGGAACUGGGUGGGCUUUAGGGUCUCUUCCAAAUAAAGCUAUUCUGUGAUUCUAUGAUUCUAUAAUUCUUUGCGUUCCUGAAUCACCAGGACUAACAGAACCAGCUUGUAUUUCAGUGUUCCAGAGAAAAACACGCAGUAGUUCACGAGUAGUUCACUCC
ensembl:lncRNA